CGCCCGUGCUAACAGUUCCCGAAAACCUCGUUGGAGAAAGCUCGAAGGCAGUAUGUGAAGUGCGCAAUGCUAUCCCAGCUCCGACAAUAACAAUACACGUUGUCUCGCUAGCUGUGGUUCAACAAACGGAUUCAUUCAAUACAUCUUCUUAUACUUUUACAAGUCAAGCAAAGGCGACAAAGACUAAUCAAUGGUGGAAUGGAAAUGAAAUGUGUUGCAAAGGGCAAUGGAAAAGGUGUUUUGGUUUAAAAGCUAUGUCAACUUGCAAAAAUAUCAGUAUGAAAUUUCCGCCGUCGAACCUUUCAAUAUCCGUAAACAAAAUACACGACUAUAACAACAAUGUUUCUUUUUAUUUCCUUAACAUGUCUUGUGAAAGCAAUGAAUCAAAUCCGCCUUGCACAAUUGAAUGGUCAAGCGACAACGAUAAUUUAAGAUACGUUAAAAUCAACAAUUGGACAAAUGGUGAAAAUGGGAGUUACCGUUCUGUGUCCAACGCGCUUUACAAUGUCACUAAAAACAUGGCUGGGGGAACAAUUACAUGUGCAACAAAUUGUGCCAAUUUCCCAUUGCAUUUAUAUAAAGACUAUAAAAUAACUUUUUCAGGUAUUUUAUCAACAUGUAUCUGUGAUUAGAUUGAAGAUAUCUUACAAUGUAUAAGGAUCUAUUGUUUUCUAUCAGGUGUGAUAGCUAGUUUCUCAAGAAUUGCUACACAACAUUUCAGAUUGUCCAACUCUUAAUUUGAACACGACAUCACCUGUGAAUUUAUGUCCGAAAACUACAUUGACAGUACAUUGUCUUGUUGAUGGCUGCAAUACUAAAGAGCAAUGGACGCUCCGCUGGGAAUAUGAAAUAGCACUGUUAUAAAGUAUUGUAAUAAAACAGGGGAAUGCCUGUUAAGACUCAAUUAUACAGGAGAAGUGGAAAAUACUUACACUUACACAGCUUGGAAAUCAGAAGGGUAUCUGAUAAAUUCCUUGAUCGUUUUAAGCUCAAGGACAUAUGGUUUGUAUUUAUCAGUUGUUCAUCUAUUGUAUUUGUAAUAAAUUAAAUGUCGCCGAGUGUUUUUAUGAUAUGAUAAAUAUUAUUGCAGGAAAGCAAUGCCAGGACAAUGACAUUCAGCAAUUUUCUUCAAUAUACCGAUUUCCUGUCAGUAAUCUUCUCAUUGGAACAGGUGUUUUCUGUGUACUCUGCAUCGUGCUUGCAAUUGGAAGAUGUAUAUUUCUUAAACGGCGAAAGGUCCGCGCAAUCAUCACAAAUGAAAUUGUUCAAAAUCACAGCGAAACAGACACCUCGGCGGACAAUGACGUGGUACACGUAACAACGCAAGGUGUCCAGUAUGCAGUCGUACAGAGGCAGCCUGCCCCACAGAGGAUUGGAACACAG